UUUACAGAAAUAAAUAGGAACUCCUUGCUUCUCAAAACUCAAGUGAUACCACAGUUUUACCUUCUUUCUAGCCAUCCUUAAAGUUAAAAUCCAUCCAGGCCAUGCAUAGUGGAAAUUCUGAGAGGGACAUGGUGAUGAACGUACAUAUUAAGAUCCCCGUCAUCCCAUUCUUCCACUUUACUUACCUGUCAUAGAUAAUAAAGUUUUACAUGCCACAUCUUACAUGCAUAUAACCGAACAUACAUACUAUAUGAGCUAGUAAUGUCUAGAACAGAGAGAGAAAUGCAGAUUUAAAAAAUGGAAACUGUUGUACUGACAUAUUCAAUGCCCAAACACUAAAUAGCACUGUACGAACAUCAACUAAAUUUAAGAAUACAAAUGUAGCUCUCGUUUUUGAGAACCACGUAUAAAUGUCCUCUCGUAGGAUAUCAAGCUAUAGGUGAAUACACAUAAGACAUAUAGACAAGCACCCGAAGCAACAACGAAUACAAUUAAGAAUACUCUUCACAAGGCGUUUGGGAAUAACUAUAAUCCCACUAUUCUGUAGAAAAAAUUCAAAAGCAUAGAUGAACUAAAACAUUCAGAUGGAGGUUGAAUCGAUUAGGAGCAGCUGCAAAGUUCCAUAACAACACCACUUUACACCACUCUGGCAACACCCACACUACAGUUAUCAGAAAUCCGAGUGACAACCACUUAGAAACAAACAAUAAUACAUAAAUGAAUCCACAGAAAGAAAUAAGUUAAAUCAAAAUGUAUACCAAGAGUAUUCAAUUGAUGAUGGGAAUCAAGCUUGCAAGAAUGUUGUUAUCUGCAAGAAAAAUCACCAUGAUUAAACGAAGUAGGAUGCCAACAUGGAAAAAGAGCGAUUGAGAGUGUGUAGCAUUCAUGCACUACAUUACCGUUCAGAGUAAACGCGCACAGGUUUGUGUCAAUUAUUGUCAAUUCGUGUUGGACAGUAGAGGCUGAACCAUAUACUUCCAUAAACACAAAAUUAAGGAACUGGACUAUUUUGUGUUGUCCAUCCAUAUUCCAUUAUGGCAACUCGGAUCUGCAUCUAUAUAUGACACGUAAUUACUAAUAGGGUGUGUCUAGUGUACAUCUAGAUGUGCUCUAAUUAUUGCACAUUUAAGUGAGUGAAUCAAGCAUAAAGAUGAAAAAGAAAAAGAAAAAGGAAAAUAUCCACACGAAUCUCGAUGUAAAAUCAAUGAUAUAGGACUUAGAUGUGCAAUACUUAUGGCACAUCUAGAUGUGCUUUAGCAAAACUGUUACUAAUAUUAGUUUUUCUUCCUUGGAUAAAUCUUGUCAUCAAACUGUAAAGAUUGACAUGCAUCCAACCACACGUAUAAAACUUACUAUCUUGUAAAUCAAUAUCAAAGCAGAUGGAAAACAAACGACAACGGAACAUGCAUCAUGGUGAAACCUCCAUACUACAAUAUCAAACACGAAUUCAGAUUAACAAUCUAAUCAAGAAAAUAUGAGAGAUGCAGUCCUGGUCAGUUUUUGUUUUGUGGCAUCCCCUCAAAAAAAUAAAAAUAAAAUGAUGUUCUUAUUUUAGCAAGGAUACACUGAGCUGGGACGAUUCAGUCUGAAAUAAAAUAUGAUGGCUACAUAGGAUUCGGAAGGCAAGAAAUUUGCUUCCUUCCAACAGACAUGGUCUACUGAACUGAACUUCAUUUCAGCUAGCUUUGGUAAAAAUCUGUAACUGAAUUUGUGGUGUUGUCGAGCGACUUGCAGCUCAGAGAGGACUGCAGACAUCAAAACUCGUAUGCCCAUCCCACAUCAAAUUUUUUUUUUAAAAAGGGCAACUUGGUGCAUGUAGCUCCCGCUUGCGCAGGGUCCAGGGAAGGGUCCGACCAAAAUAAAUAUUAAACCCGCCAAAAUAAAUAUUUCAGUUUAGGCUAUGAUCAUUGUACUUUCUGAGUGUUAGGUGUAGUUUCUAAAUAGCAGAGAAACCAUACCAUCUAAGCACAACCCAGUAGCUUGUACAAACUAACAUCAAAUCUGAAAGAGGAAACUGUCGACAACAGAUGAAGGUACCAUGGUCUAUAAUCCAUGAAAGAGGAAGAGACAAAGAACCAGGGCAGGGUAACAGCUCACCAACAAAAAGGCCAUCGGGACAAGCCUGUAACGGCGGGAUGGUGUCGAUGACAAAGGGACAACAUGUGGUUCUCCUUGCUCUUCACCUCUCUCACUCUCUCUCUCUCUCUCUCUCUCUCUCACACACACACACACACACACACACACACACACACACAUGUCCUUCUCCCAACACUUUUCUCCUUCAGCAUUUAUACAAACAGGUAGUGCUCGCAUCUGCAACAUCAAAGCCAGAAUGCAAUUUGGUAACAUAUGUGCACAACUGCAGCUACCUAUGCACAGUAAUUCUUGCAAUGCAACCCACUCAAGCAAGAAAGAGGAGCCAGAAAAGGAGGGGGCAUGUUACUCACUGUCUGUUUCCCCAUCCCUCACAGACACAAAUUGUCCUCCUCUGAGCAGUCUUCUUGAGCAUUUAUACAAACAAGCAGUGCUGGCAUCUACAAGCUCAAAGCCAAAAUAAAAUUUGAGAUAGUAAUUGCAUAGCUGCAGCCACCUCUGAACAAUAAUUUUUGCAACCCAAUCCAAUCAAGAAACAAAUAGAGGAGCUAGAGGUGGAGGCGACCAUGUUACGUACCUCGGCAGGCAAGCUCGUAGGAGAUUCUGAUGGAGGUCAUAAGCAGCCGGAUGAACUGUCCGAGCGCGAGACCCACGACCAC
rnacentral:lncRNA from 1 species